UGAGAAUCUAAAAUGGAGUGACUCUAAGUGAACAGAAGAGGGCAGCAUUACGCUUCUUUUAGUGUACAGCCUGCCGGAAACCAUUAGAAGAAGAAGAAGAAGAAGACAUUAGUGUGACUCACUUCCUGUUUCCGCUCAUACGUAAUCUGGGAGAAGACGAGUGUGCAUCGUGGUUCCUACUCUAACACUCUACAUGUACUUUACAGCAAUGCAUGUCUAAACGUUUUGAUGGAUCACAACAAGCUUUGGAUCUGAACAGUAUUCACACAGACACAGUGAUGCGUUUCCAUCUGCUGAAGCACACACGACUGAAUGUGGUGACGCUCCUCAACGAGCUGCCAUAAACCCAGCAUGACAUCAUCUCUUUCACCGUGGACAUAAACGCCUACACAAAUACGCUGCUGUCAUUCACAGUGGGCGGAGUCUUCAAAUCUUAGUCGUCAUGGUUAUAAGAAGAUCCACUGCAACUCAUCUAUUCUCACUAACGCUUUCCU
rnacentral:lncRNA from 1 species